AUGGUUGUGAAGCUAAUAGAUGGCAGAUGGGAGGUGAUUUACUUUGUUGGCGAGCACAACCAUCCAUUGAUUGACAAGCCAUGUUUGACUAAGUAUUUGCGAUUGCACCAAGGGAUCCCACCAGAAGAAAGGGCCUUCCUUACUCAUCUUCAUAACUGCAAUUUGACUACAUGUUGUAUGAUGCACAUCAUGUCAGAUUUCUAUGGGUCAGAUCUCAUUGUACCUUAUACCACUAAGCACAUUACAAACCUCAAGACGGUCUUGAACAAGGAUGAUACAAAAGAAGGGGAUAUGAUAGAGACCGUUGCUUACUUUAAAGAUCAGCAG
rnacentral:rRNA from 1 species